rnacentral:rRNA from 1 species
UACGUAGGGGGCAAGCGUUGUCCGGAAUUAUUGGGCGUAAAGAGCGUGUAGGCGGCCAGAUAAGUCCGCUGUGAAAUCUCGAGGCUCAACUUCGAGCUGUCGGUGGAAACUAUCUGGCUAGAGUCCGGAAGAGGAGAAUGGAAUUCCUGGUGUAGCGGUGAAAUGCGCAGAUAUCAGGAAGAACACCCGUGGCGAAGGCGGUUCUCUGGGACGGUUUCUGACGCUAAGACGCGAAAGCGUGGGGAGCAAACAGG